UCAAUUCACUACUGUAAGUUGCUCUGGAUAAGAGUGUCUGCUAAAUGACUAAAA
rfam:Salmo salar isolate Sally breed double haploid chromosome ssa01, whole genome shotgun sequence.